AUUGAACGCUGGCGGCAGGCCUAACACAUGCAAGUCGAGCGGAUGAAGGGAGCUUGCUCCUGGAUUCAGCGGCGGACGGGUGAGUAAUGCCUAGGAAUCUGCCUGGUGGUGGGUGAUAACGUCCGGAAACGGGCGCUAAUACCGCAUACGUCCUGAGGGAGAAAGUGGGGGAUCUUCGGACCUCACGCUAUCAGAUGAGCCUAGGUCGGAUUAGCUAGUUGGUGGGGUAAAGGCCUACCAAGGCGACGAUCCGUAACUGGUCUGAGAGGAUGAUCAGUCACACUGGAACUGAGACACGGUCCAGACUCCUACGGGAGGCAGCAGUGGGGAAUAUUGGACAAUGGGCGAAAGCCUGAUCCAGCCAUGCCGCGUGUGUGAAGAAGGUCUUCGGAUUGUAAAGCACUUUAAGUUGGGAGGAAGGGCAGUAAGUUAAUACCUUGCUGUUUUGACGUUACCAACAGAAUAAGCACCGGCUAACUUCGUG
rnacentral:rRNA from 1 species